rnacentral:lncRNA from 1 species
AGCAUUUCAUAAUCAAUGCCGCUACAUCUGAAUACUUACCAUCUGGGCAUCAAAUUUAUGACAUAUUAAUCCCCUCCGGCCCGCCCCACCCCGCUCUCUGUUGCUGUUUCUCUCUAUAAUAUUCAAUGGAAGGUCUAUUUUACUAGAAAAAUAAUGGAAGACCCUGAAAUCUCCAUUAAACUAAACUAAUGUUUAUCGACUUGCUUGCAUUUAAGCUGUUUCGUUUUCUGGGUUUUUUCAUUAAGUUUCAGAUUCGGUCCACUGGGUAGAUAGAAUUCUUGAU